ACGCUGGCGGCGUGCUUAACACAUGCAAGUCGAACGAACCUUCGGGUUAGUGGCGGACGGGUGAGUAACGCGUGAGAAUCUGCCCUCAGGAGGGGGAUAACGGUUGGAAACGACCGCUAAUACCCCAUAUGCCUACUGGUGAAAUGAAUUUCGCCUGAGGAUGAGCUCGCGUCUGAUUAGCUUGUUGGUGAGGUAAUGGCUCACCAAGGCUUCGAUCAGUAGCUGGUCUGAGAGGAUGAUCAGCCACACUGGGACUGAGACACGGCCCAGACUCCUACGGGAGGCAGCAGUGGGGAAUUUUCCGCAAUGGGCGAAAGCCUGACGGAGCAACGCCGCGUGAGGGACGAAGGCCUCUGGGCUGUAAACCUCUUUUCUCAAGGAAGAAGAUAUGACGGUACUUGAGGAAUAAGCCACGGCUAAUUCCGUGCCAGCAGCCGCGGUAAUACGGGAGUGGCAAGCGUUAUCCGGAAUUAUUGGGCGUAAAGCGUCCGCAGGCGGCUUUUCAAGUCUGCUGUUAAAGCGUGGAGCUUAACUCCAUCAUGGCAGUGGAAACUGAAAGGCUUGAGUAUGGUAGGGGCAGAGGGAAUUCCCGGUGUAGCGGUGAAAUGCGUAGAUAUCGGGAAGAACACCAGUGGCGAAGGCGCUCUGCUGGGCCAUUACUGACGCUCAUGGACGAAAGCCAGGGGAGCGAAAGGGAUUAGAUACCCCUGUAGUCCUGGCCGUAAACGAUGAACACUAGGUGUCGGGGGAAUCGACCCCUUCGGUGUCGUAGCUAACGCGUUAAGUGUUCCGCCUGGGGAGUACGCAC
rnacentral:rRNA from 1 species